GCUACCAUGCAGUCGAGCGGUAACAGGAAGAAAGCUUGCUUUCUUUGCUGACGAGCGGCGGACGGGUGAGUAAUGCCUAGGGAACUGCCCAGUCGAGGGGGAUAACAGUUGGAAACGACUGCUAAUACCGCAUACGCCCUACGGGGGAAAAGAGGGGACCUUCGGGCCUUCUGCGAUUGGAUGUACCUAGGUGGGAUUAGCUAGUAGGUGAGGUAAUGGCUCACCUAGGCGACGAUCCCUAGCUGUUCUGAGAGGAUGAUCAGCCACACUGGGACUGAGACACGGCCCAGACUCCUACGGGAGGCAGCAGUGGGGAAUAUUGCACAAUGGGCGCAAGCCUGAUGCAGCCAUGCCGCGUGUGUGAAGAAGGCCUUCGGGUUGUAAAGCACUUUCAGCGAGGAGGAAAGGUUAAGUGUUAAUANCACUUANCUGUGACGUUACUCGCAGAAAGCACCGGCUAACUUCGUGCCAGCAGCCGCGGUAAUAC
rnacentral:rRNA from 1 species